rnacentral:rRNA from 1 species
UGACCUCGGAUCAGGUAGGAAUACCCGCUGAACUUAAGCAUAUCAAUAAGCGGAGGAAAAGAAACCAACAGGGAUUGCCUCAGUAACGGCGAGUGAAGCGGCAACAGCUCAAAUUUGAAAUCUGGCCUCUUUGGGGUCCGAGUUGUAAUUUGUAGAGGAUGUUUCGGGUACCGCUCCGGUUUAAAUUUCUUGGAACAGAAUGUCAGAGAGGGUGAGAAUCCCGUCUUGGACCGGUGGUAGGACCUAUGUGAAACUCCUUCGACGAGUCGAGUUGUUUGGGAAUGCAGCUCAAAAUGGGUGGUAAAUUUCAUCUAAAGCUAAAUAUUGGCCAGAGACCGAUAGCGCACAAGUAGAGUGAUCGAAAGAUGAAAAGCACUUUGAAAAGAGAGUUAAACAGUAUGUGAAAUUGUGAAAGGGAAGCGCUUACAACCAGACUUGAGCGCGACGGUCCCCUUCCUUUUGGUUGGGUUACUCCGUCGUGUCCAGGCAACAUCGGUUUCGGGGUGGUU